GGAGAGGACCAAUCUUGAAAAUAACCCUUUACCGCAAAAACACGCUGGUCCUGAGGGUUAAAGAGUUAGAGGAGUGGCCUGGACGGUGUCGUUUGAGACCACUAUUAUCGGUCUAAACGGCACCGUUUCCUAAUCCCUUAUAACCUCUAAUAAAGCACCCCAUUUCAGCUGAAAUCCCAUUAUUUUCCUCCUUUUCCAAACCCUAAAACCCCCCUGAAGCUGCUGAUUCUCUUUCCCCUAGCAGCCAACAAAUUUAGGCUGGGGAGAACGCUUUUCGGCCCUUUGAUCUUCUCUUGACUUAGAUUUCGACUAAGUAAGAGGAGAUCCAUGGCAUAUCCUCCAGGUACGGGUGCUGUGCUGGCGUACGGAGGCUUGGCGUGGUUGUUGGAGGCGUUGUACGGAGCGUACGGCGCUGAGGGAGGGCUGUGGCGUGGCUGCUGAGUUGGGGAGUACGGAGGCAUAGAGGCCGGGGCUUGGCUGCGGCGCAUGGUGGACCCGCUAGGGUUUCUGCCUUGGUUUCUGCAUUCGGGCCAUUUGGGUUUGUUGCAAAUUUCGGCUAGGGGUCAUGUAACUGGGCUUGUUAUUGGUUAUUAGGCCAUGUAAUUGGACUGUUAUAAAACUUGGGUUUUAUAUUUAUUUAUUUAUUUUAUAUUUUGUUUCGAUUUUUUUGUGUUUGCUUGGGCCGGGCAAAUUUGGCCCAUUACAUGGAAAAUUGGACAAAAUUUUUUAGAUUUUACAUAUUGAAUCAAGUUGCGGUUUAUUA